rnacentral:tRNA from 1 species
GAGGGAAUAGCUCAAGUGGUAGAGUGCAUGCUUAGCAUGCAUGAGGUUCUGGGUUCAAUCCCCAGUGCCUCCU